rnacentral:rRNA from 1 species
CGAGCGGAAGGCCCUUCGGGGUACUCGAGCGGCGAACGGGUGAGUAACACGUGAGCAACCUGCCCUAGGCUUUGGGAUAACCCCGGGAAACCGGGGCUAAUACCGGAUAGGACCUUCGGACGCAUGUCUGGGGGUGGAAAGUUUUUCGGCCUGGGAUGGGCUCGCGGCCUAUCAGCUUGUUGGUGGGGUGAUGGCCUACCAAGGCGACGACGGGUAGCCGGCCUGAGAGGGCGACCGGCCACACUGGGACUGAGACACGGCCCAGACUCCUACGGGAGGCAGCAGUGGGGAAUAUUGCACAAUGGGCGGAAGCCUGAUGCAGCGACGCCGCGUGAGGGAUGACGGCCUUCGGGUUGUAAACCUCUUUCAGCAGGGACGAAGCGCAAGUGACGGUACCUGCAGAAGAAGCGCCGGCCAACUACGUGCCAGCAGCCGCGGUAAGACGUAGGGCGCGAGCGUUGUCCGGAUUUAUUGGGCGUAAAGAGCUCGUAGGCGGCUUGUCGCGUCGACUGUGAAAACCCGCGGCUCAACCGCGGGCCUGCAGUCGAUACGGGCAGGCUAGAGUUCGGUAGGGGAGACUGGAAUUCCUGGUGUAGCGGUGAAAUGCGCAGAUAUCAGGAGGAACACCGGUGGCGAAGGCGGGUCUCUGGGCCGAUACUGACGCUGAGGAGCGAAAGCGUGGGGAGCGAACAGGAUUAGAUACCCUGGUAGUCCACGCUGUAAACGUUGGGCGCUAGGUGUGGGGGGCCUCUCCGGUCCUCUGUGCCGCAGCUAACGCAUUAAGCGCCCCGCCUGGGGAGUACGGCCGCAAGGCUAAAACUCAAAGGAAUUGACGGGGG